GCGGUUGUAGUUCAGUGGUAGAAUGUGGGAUUGUGGAUCCCAAGACGCGAGUUCGAUUCUCGCCUCCCGCU
rnacentral:tRNA from 1 species